UGCAAGAUGCGUUUGCAAUCGGCUGGAGUGAGAAGAACAGGAUGUCUUCCAUUCCGGUACUCAAGAAGCUAUGAACAGACGGUACCGAGGCCAAGAAAUCUGUUUACAUCUUACAUCUGCUGCCUGCAAUUACUGCAAGUUCAAAUCUCCCCAGGCUCAAGGUUGACUCAGCCUUCCAUCCUUUCUAAGACGAAUCUCUGGAAAACCAAAGAGGGAAGCAACAAAAGCUAUUUAGAUGCUACACCAGCCCUAAGCCUCACUGAAUGGAUGCUUUCUUCAAAACCUUGGAUUUAUCUGCUGAUGAAGCUCAUGGGACCUAACCAUUACCUACAUUGAUUCUGGUUUUCUCACUGAAACUUCAUAGGUGUGCUGUGAUUUAUCCUCAGAAAACAAAGUACUUCCAUCAAUCCCUUCCACCACACUGUUUUCCUGGUCAGGUUUUUGCCAAGCCCCAAUUUUUGAUGGGAUUCUAGAUUUUCAGACUUGUUUGCAAAGGGAAGUCUUUCCACAGUGAUUACAACAUUGUGAUUUCUGUGGUUGUGUGCUACCAAGGUGGUACCAUUGCAAGUGAAUGAAAUGAAGUUGUGCAAAGGAUCCUUGGCCGUAGCUUCCAUCAAUUCAAGAAGGAACUGAGUCCAGAAGGAGCCGCAAAUUGGGCACAAAAACUGGAUGAGACAGUGCAAUUUCCAGUUCUGAGACCCCUGGGGCCUCACCCCAUUUAGUUCUGGUAUGAUUAUUUCCUCUUGAUGGAUCCAAUCUGAAACCAUUGCCAUAUUUUAUUAUUGUUUUUUCCCUAAUGCCAUCACUCUGCUUAACAAGUAAUUCCCACAACACUGUCAAAUAAUUUACUAAGACUUGUAUUACUAUUAUUCUUCUCUUCCUUCCUAGUACCUAUCUCUUCCCACUUAUUACUAUAACCAUGUUGCUUGUAUCUUUCAAUUUAUACUGUUUUUAUUUGUUUCCUAGUACGAUUUGAUAGCUUAUUAGUAACCUUGACGAUCACUAAGUGUUGUAUCUUUUUAUUCCCGAUGAAUGUAUUUUAUUCUCCUUAUGUAUACUGAGAGCAUAUGCACCUAAGACAAAUUCCAAUCACACUUGGCCAAUAAAGAAUUCUAUUCUAUUCAUCUAUUCA